rnacentral:rRNA from 1 species
UACGGGGGGGGCAAGCGUUGUUCGGAAUUACUGGGCGUAAAGGGCUCGUAGGCGGCCAACUAAGUCAGACGUGAAAUCCCUCGGCUUAACCGGGGAACUGCGUCUGAUACUGGAUGGCUAGAGGUUGGGAGAGGGAUGCGGAAUUCCAGGUGUAGCGGUGAAAUGCGUAGAUAUCUGGAGGAACACCGGUGGCGAAGGCGGCAUACUGGACCAAUUCUGACGCUGAGGAGCGAAAGCCAGGGGAGCAAACGGG